rnacentral:rRNA from 1 species
AAUGCCGGAUGCUCCAUCACACCGCAUGGUGUGUUGGGAAAGCCUUUGCGGCAUGGGAUGGGGUCGCGUCCUAUCAGCUUGAUGGCGGGGUAACGGCCCACCAUGGCUUCGACGGGUAGCCGGCCUGAGAGGGCGACCGGCCACAUUGGGACUGAGAUACGGCCCAGACUCCUACGGGAGGCAGCAGUGGGGAAUAUUGCACAAUGGGCGCAAGCCUGAUGCAGCGACGCCGCGUGAGGGAUGGAGGCCUUCGGGUUGUAAACCUCUUUUGUUAGGGAGCAAGGCAUUUUGUGUUGAGUGUACCUUUCGAAUAAGCACCGGCUAACUACGUGCCAGCAGCCGCGGUAAUACGUAGGGUGCAAGCGUUAUCCGGAAUUAUUGGGCGUAAAGGGCUCGUAGGCGGUUCGUCGCGUCCGGUGUGAAAGUCCAUCGCUUAACGGUGGAUCCGCGCCGGGUACGGGCGGGCUUGAGUGCGGUAGGGGAGACUGGAAUUCCCGGUGUAACGGUGGAAUGUGUAGAUAUCGGG